rnacentral:rRNA from 1 species
CCUACGGGUGGCAGCAGUGGGGAAUAUUGGACAAUGGGCGAAAGCCUGAUCCAGCCAUGCCGCGUGUGUGAAGAAGGCCUUAGGGUUGUAAAGCACUUUCAGUGGGGAAGAAAGCCUUGGGGCUAAUACCCUCGAGGAAGGACAUCACCCACAGAAGAAGCACCGGCUAACUCCGUGCCAGCAGCCGCGGUAAUACGGAGGGUGCGAGCGUUAAUCGGAAUUACUGGGCGUAAAGCGCGCGUAGGCGGUCUGAUAAGCCGGUUGUGAAAGCCCCGGGCUCAACCUGGGAACGGCAUCCGGAACUGUCAGGCUAGAGUGCAGGAGAGGAAGGUAGAAUUCCCGGUGUAGCGGUGAAAUGCGUAGAGAUCGGGAGGAAUACCAGUGGCGAAGGCGGCCUUCUGGACUGACACUGACGCUGAGGUGCGAAAGCGGUGGUAGCAAACAGGAUUAGAUACCCUUGUAGUC